UACGUAGGGUGCGAGCGUUAAUCGGAAUUACUGGGCGUAAAGCGUGCGCAGGCGGUUCGUUGUGUCGGCGGUGAAAGCCCUGGGCUCAACCUGGGAAUGGCCGUUGAAACUGGCGAACUGGAGUGUGGCAGAGGGGGGUGGAAUUCCGCGUGUAGCAGUGAAAUGCGUAGAGAUGCGGAGGAACACCGAUGGCGAAGGCAGCCCCCUGGGCUGACACUGACGCUCAGGCACGAAAGCGUGGGGAGCAAACAGG
rnacentral:rRNA from 1 species